ACUGAGGAACCGGAUGUUUGUGGAGAGCGGAUGGAGCUGCGCGCGCACAUGAGCAAAACAGGUGAGUAACGCUAGAGCUUUAGGUUUGACCUUUUAAGUGUGUGUAAGUAUAACAAGGACAAUAUAAUACAAAUAUAAUCACUUUCAUAAGCAGUCAUUAGAUCCAUCGACCAGCUAUGCUGCAUUAAAAAGUCAGAGAUUCUUGAGAGGUGGGCUUUCAAGGAAAUAAGAGAAGUUAUUCAUAUUUUGUUUAUUUCAAAGUUUCUUUUCAUGAUGUGCAAUUGAGAGCUUUGGUCGUCAGCAUCCCAGCUUGUAUAUUUUUCUCAUAAUUAAUGACUAGUUGGUGCUGAAUGAAAAAUAUAGCCCAGAGGAUAUGGAAUUCAAGCACUGGAUGUUGUUACCCUUAUUUAAUACCUGUAGCUACAUGUUUCCACAAAGUGUCAUGGUAACUGACCUUACCACAGAACCUGGCAUCAAACAUGCCUAUACUGUAAUCGCCGUUGUGAGAAAAUCCAAGCUCGCUCAACAUUAAUUCCACGUGCAGUUUCAGCACAGAGAGAAAGAAGGUCAACUUUUAGGAAAUAAUUCAUGUGAAUGCUGUUUCUGCUCAAGGAGAAACUCUGACCAGCAGAGCAGUCAGUAUCUAAUUACUUUGUUGUUUUUCCUAUGGAAGCCAUGAUGUGAAAAUGUGCAUGAUGCUAAACAGCUGGACGUACUUUCCACUUGCUGCAUCCGCAGCCAGCUGCAGACGUGUACUGGUCACGCGGACGUGCACGUGGUUCCAUUAAUCAAAAAUGAAAUCUUCUCACUAGAAUAUGACAAAAUAUACGUAUAAAAUGGAAACAGGAACUACAUGGCAAUCUGCAGAUUCGAAACAAACUUUUUGAGAUGUUACGGGAAUUACUUUGUUGAUAAUAAUUUAAAAUCUGACUGAUAUGCUAAGAUAAUUGCAGCUGGCAGACGUGGAUAUCUCUGCUGUAUUGGUGCUUUCUCUGUGUGUGUGUGUCUCUCUCUAUCUCUCUCUCUCUCUCUCUCUCUCUCUCUCUCUCUCUCUCUCUCUCUCUCUCUAACACACAACCAACACAAUGUAUUGGUGAGUGACAGGUGAAAUGACAUGAUUGCUCACAUUUUCCCCCUUUAAAAAGUCUUAGUUUGCUGUUUUUUUCUCAUUUUUGAAACUCUGAUGCAUUCUCAUUUGACGCAGCAUGUUCUGCACAAUAGCUUGUAAGCGUCUGUUUGAAGAUGAUUGUGAACCAUGGCCCCUGCACCACCAACACACUGGCAUCCCAUACAGAAAGGCACAGCUCUCUCUGUGAUGGUGGAAAAGCACUACAGACUGAAGUGGAGACUGGAGAUCACUUACCUUGCAUGGCAGCAUGAUUCCCGCACUGCCAAGACAUCACAUAUCGCCCAAAGAUCCAUCUUGUCGGUGCAUGGACCAAUCGGUGUCCUGCUACAGGCGGACUACGUGAUCAUCGCGACAUCACGUGAAUCCAGCUGCCAUGCAAGAGGGGGACGAAAAACAGGGCGGAGCCGGCACCAGUUGGUAAGGGUUAUCUUUCAGGAUUACCUACCCUGCCGGCUCACCCAAACCUGGACGGAACCCAGAUGAGGAGCAUAAGCAAGGAGUGACUGCUGCAUAAGAAGGAGAACAGGAGCCUUCAGAGGGUAGAAGGAAAACCGAGGAGCGAGGGAGGAACACAAGGAGCGUAAGCUGACAGUCCUGCUUGACCUUACCUCUGGCCAACCUUUCUGUCGAGGCAUUGUCGGCCUCCUAGAAACAGCCUCAAUGCUGAUAAGAAGGGACUGCUAAGAAGGGACUGCCCCGCUUGCACGUCAAGGACUUCUUCUUCCAGGUGGAGUGUCAGUUUACCGUCUCUAAAAAGACCAUCAGUAGCCAGCUUGUCCCACUUCCUACCAUUCCAGCGUGUGGCCUGGACUUUGUGGAACCCCUGCCGUAGAUCCCCUGAGGGCGCCGCUUCAUCUUGGUCAUGGUCCACGACGCCAUCCAGUUUCCUAAAGUGGUCCAUCUAUGCACUACCUCAACAAAGGUCAUUGUAAGAGGUUCUCUUGUUGUUUUCUAGAGUUGGCACAGCAAAAUAAAUCUUAAUGGACCAGGGAACCACCCUCAUGUCAAAGGUCAUGCACUACCUGUGCACACCACUCAGUCUACCCCCUCUCCAACGGAUGGCUUGGUGGAGUGGUUCAACAAGACCCUGAGGUGCAUAUUUCGAUAGUUAAUACAAUUGUUUGUAGAAAUUGGAAUCAGUUGUUGCCUCAUGUCCUUUGGGCUGUCUGCAAAGUCCUCCAGAGCUCUACAGGAUUCUCCCAAUACAAGCUGCAAACAACGACCCUGGGGAACCCUCGACCUGGCUGAAGAAGCGUGGGAGCAGCAAACAUCCUACAUGGACAGCAUGAAACUGGGGUUGGCUCAGGUGUGGCUCAUGGUCUGGCAUAUGGCACAAGCUCGCUAGUGGCUAACAAGAUCAGAAAAGUCUUGCUGCAAGUUAUUGGAGAAAAAAGGCUGUGCCCCUGCGAGGUAGUGGAGAAACCACCUCGGUGGCCAGAGCCUUGUCUCUCUCCACCACUGUUGCGAGGCGCCAGAGAAGAGGGUGGAGGAUCACAUUUGGGGCUCAGUAUUUCUUAAAGUGAUAGUGUGGGUGAUUUGAAGUAGGGUUCUAUGAGUACGUACCCGCUAGUCAGUGCAUUACCUGAAGUAAAUGACAGUUGGCACACCCCCAGUUUGAAGAAACAGACCAGCACGGUUCUGCAGCAGCCAAACAUAUUUCAGACACCUAAGAAGGGUCCACCAAAAAGAAAUAUCAGUUGUGUAUCAGUAUGUGUACUAGCAGGACGUGCCGACCACCAUCUACUGUAUAUUCAAUGACUAUAGAUAAGUACAACCAAACAAUAAUCCGAACUAUCCCUUUAUUUUUUACAUUGAAUGUUAAGAAUGUCAUUGUCGCUGAAUACAAUCAGUGGUUAGCUGAAUUAUUCAAUAUCAAUGUAUUGUCUGGAGAAAGGGUAAUUUAUGGUAUUAUCAAAUGCUAAUAACAUAGUUCGAGGUUGUUUUGAGGAAGUCCUGGAAAGACCAUAAGAUCAUCUGUCAUGUAGUGGAUUGUCCUGUUCCCUGAUUAAGUAAAUCAUCCUGUUGGGGCUCCAUGCCAACACGAUGGCAAAGUGGUUAGUAGUACUCUCCUCUUAUAGUUUAAACUUGAACUCCAAGCUGAACAAAGUGUUUGCUCAUUUAAAUGUCCUACUGAUACAUGAACCCAAAAGGGUUUUAGCAGAUGUAGCCAGGUUUUAUAUUUAAUUGAAUCUGGCGUCAGUGUUCUUGCUGAGCGAAGCUCAACGAAUGUGUUUCUCCGUACUGAUGACACGUCUCGGGCAUGGAGGCAUGUUCAAAGCUACGUUAUGUGUCUUUCUUUCUUCGGUGAGCCUCUCAACAGGGUUCAACAGCGAGGUGCAGCUUGUAGUCCCACUCGCUUCCCGGGCGCAAACAAUGACGGUAAAACCUUAAAGCACUUUGCUCAGCUCGCUAUUUUAUCAGAGAAGACAUGAUGAGCUUGUAUAAGUUUGAUGUAUUAUUAAUACGACGCUUGUCACUGCAGUGCCACUUGCUGUCUCUCCAGCAUGAUGUAAAUGUACACCCUUGUGAUGGUGCGGUCAUGUGAUGGAGGAGGAGACCUCUGAUUGGCUACAAAUAAUUCCCUAAAUGGAACAAGUAAGCAACCUCCGGUGCUAUGACAUGAACACAACUCUGAAGUGCCAGAAACUGCAGUUCAUCAAAUGGCCACUUGAGGCUGGCUCCAGAAGCAAGUCGAUCAUAAAAUGCCCAAGUGAACAGCAGAACUAAGCAUGCCUGUACAUACAUCCUGGUACGAGAAACCUGUUGAGUCUCGAUGAUGAUGUCCCUGUUCAUCACCACUGUAUGGGGGGUGAAAUGGCUGAUUAGGCAUAAUCAAGGGCCUGGUUGCUUUCAGUGACGGGUGGGGGCAAUUAACUGUAAACCGGGCAUCCUGCUGGGCAAUGUUCAACAGCUUGUACAUCAAUGUUUUUAAUGUAAAUGUCAUUUUAAAUGCAUACAUUUCUAUUACAUUCAUUUAACUUUGUAUAGGUGGGAUUUUGUUUACAUUUAUAUAUCUAAAACAAUUUGUUGUGUGUGUGUGGCCCACCACCUGAUCUUUAUAACUAACUUACUGUAUUUGUGUCAUAGCCCAUUGUUAGAAUCUCCUUGUUAUUUCUGUUUUAUUAUUUUCUGUUUCACUAUUAAUGAUUGCAGUCGUAUCACAUCCUUUCUUGCGGUUACAAUACAAACAUUUCUUUUCUUUAGAGCCUUGCUGUCAACUUCUUAGACAGACAGAAUCGGCCACAGAAUAGCGACACUGCUAAAUGUCUUUAGCUUUGCUCAUUUUAUACUUAUAAAAUAACAUUAUAGCUUGUUUUACUACGUCUAAGGAUGUUGUGCUCCUUCCAAGUAGCCAGUGAUGGCCUUAGCUCGUACAUCGUGGUGUUUGAAACUGCAAACUCGGUGCCGAUGCGACACAGUAGCGCUGCAGAUGUAAUUAAACAUUGUAGUGUUUCGACGCGUUUGGUAAUUACGGUUAUUUCACGGCUUUGUGCUAAGUGUUUCACAGAACACACAAGUGGAACCCUUGCUUUGGAGAGGGGUUCCGCUCCCCUCACUCUUUGAUUACUUAAUGGGAUUAAUUAUUCUUUGAAGAAGCAGAGCGACUAAACUGUGCAUGUUUGUACAACCUGUAGCUCCGCUUAGCACCGCGGAGCUUUACGUUGCUGGAUCAGUGUGCUCCAAGAGGGUUCGCUUCUCCAGAAAGACUUUUGCAUGUUAAUCCCCAGAUUCACCGUAUGGCACAAAAAGGACAAGGCCGAAAACAGUAACGGAAAGCAAGGACAGGAUGUAGCCUUUCUUUCACCUCCUAAGACCUGAGCUUAAAGGCCGGACCAUGUGACGGGUGGAAAUGUGUUGGUGGUCCGCAGCUACAACAGCCCUGCCCGCGCAUGCAUACACACACAGUCCCCCGAAACCCCCCACUUACAAAAACCUCCGUGACCUUCCUUCUAAUUGGAUUUGGGGUGAAG